rnacentral:lncRNA from 1 species
AAUUUUUUUUGUAGUGUCAUUCAAGUUGGAUUUAGGUUGCAAUCAAAUUUCAUUCAAUUGUGAUAGAUAUAUAUUUUUUUAUUUUUAAAUACUUAAAAAAUCAUUAUCAUCAAUUCUUUGUUCAUUAUUGCAUUUAAUGAUCCAAAGAUUAUUAAAUCAAAAUUAAACAAACCCAUCACUCUAAACUAUAAUAUUAGACUUUCCAACCAAAUCAUUAUUCAAAGUGAGAAAAUUUUAGGUUUUUUUAUACAAAAAAAAAUGGCAAAAACAAUAAUAAUAAGUUAAAGAAUUAAAGAGAAAAAGAGAGAGAAGUCUUAAGGGAACAAAAAUCAUCAUCAUGCACUCCCCCGCUUCCCUUCCCUUUCCUUUCCAUUUACGCGUUUUUCGAGCCUUUCUUUCCUUUCCCUCACCUUUUCUCUUCUUUACAAAUCUGAUUCUUAUCUCACGCGAUGACCUGGGCAUGGCUCGUCUUUAUCAGUUCAAAAGAUCAGGGCCGUUGAAUUUAGUUCAUCGCCAGAACACGAAAUUUGUCGUGUUCUGACAAAAAGCUGACGCGUGAAAAUUAAGUCCUUUCCUUUUCCGCUGACCGAUAAAGAGAAAAAAAAAAGUGGAAGUUUGAAAGUAGGAGAGAGUUUCCAACUUUCUGCAUUUAUUACCGUUCACGUAUCUUUUCGACCUCUUUGUCUGCCUUUUUCACGUUGAAAUGUCUAUAAUACCCCUGUCAUAUGCCUUUUGUAUAAAUAAAAUUCAAAUUUUAUAUUAAUUUUUGUAGAUAAGUAAUAAUUCAUUUUGUUGGUCCGAGAGACUAUAGCUAGCCAUAGGUGGAUGCUUAAAAUGAUGACCUCGAAGUCCAAAUGGG